GCAGUGGUAGCUCAGUGGUUAAGGCAUUGGACUACUGAUCGGAAGAGUUCAAAUCCCAGCACUGCC